rnacentral:rRNA from 1 species
GUCUACGGCAAUGCCACCCUGAACAUAUUCGAUCUUGUCUGAUCUCGGAAGCUAAGCAGGGUUGGGCCUGUUUAGUACUUGGAUGGGAGACCACCUAGGAGAACCAGGUGCUGUAGGCA